UACGGGGGGGGCAAGCGUUGUUCGGAAUUACUGGGCGUAAAGGGCUCGUAGGCGGCCAACUAAGUCCGACGUGAAAUCCCCAGCUUAACCUGGGAACUGCGUCGGAUACUGGAUGGCUUGAAUUCGGGAGAGGGAUGCAGAAUUCCAGGUGUAGCGGUGAAAUGCGUAGAUAUCUGGAGGAAUACCGGUGGCGAAGGCGGAUCUCUGGGCCGUAACUGACGCUGAGGAGCGAAAGCAUGGGGAGCGAACAGG
rnacentral:rRNA from 1 species